GAUGAACGCUGGCGGCGUGCUUAACACAUGCAAGUCGAACGGGAUCCCAGGAGCUUGCUCCUGGGUGAGAGUGGCGAACGGGUGAGUAAUGCGUGACCGACCUGCCCCAUACACCGGAAUAGCUCCUGGAAACGGGUGGUAAUGCCGGAUGCUCCAGUUGACCGCAUGGUCCUCUGGGAAAGCUUUUGCGGUAUGGGAUGGGGUCGCGUCCUAUCAGCUUGAUGGCGGGGUAACGGCCCACCAUGGCUUCGACGGGUAGCCGGCCUGAGAGGGCGACCGGCCACAUUGGGACUGAGAUACGGCCCAGACUCCUACGGGAGGCAGCAGUGGGGAAUAUUGCACAAUGGGCGCAAGCCUGAUGCAGCGACGCCGCGUGCGGGAUGACGGCCUUCGGGUUGUAAACCGCUUUUGACUGGGAGCAAGCCCUUCGGGGUGAGUGUAC
rnacentral:rRNA from 1 species